CCUACGGGAGGCAGCAGUGAGGAAUAUUGGUCAAUGGGCUUACGCCUGAACCAGCCAAGUCGCGUGAGGGAAGACUGCCCUAUGGGUUGUAAACCUCUUUUGUCAGGGAGCAAUUGGCGCUACGUGUAGCGUUAUCGAGAGUACCUGAAGAAAAAGCAUCGGCUAACUCCGUGCCAGCAGCCGCGGUAAUACGGAGGAUGCGAGCGUUAUCCGGUUUUAUUGGGUUUAAAGGUUGCGUAGGCGGAAUGCCAAGUCAGCGGUAAAAUCGAGGGGCUCAACCUCGCUCCGCCGUUGAAACUGGCGGUCUUGAGUGGGCGAGAGGUAUGCGGAAUGCGUGGUGUAGCGGUGAAAUGCAUAGAUAUCACGCAGAACUCCGAUUGCGAAGGCAGCAUACCGGCGCCCAACUGACGCUGAAGCACGAAAGCGUGGGUAUCGAACAGGAUUAGAUACCCUUGUAGUC
rnacentral:rRNA from 1 species